rnacentral:miRNA from 1 species
UUUGAGUUCCAUCCCUAGGUC